UCGUUUAAAGCCAUUACGUCAGCAUCCUUAACGAAUUAAUUCACUUUCCAAUCUAUUUGUAACUAUUCAAACAACAAAAGCAAGCUGUUGCCAUCUGAACGUCAACAAGAGACCAGACGAACUGCCCUAAAGGUAUUCGUUGCAAUCCUCAAUCCCAAUCGCCACAUUACGUUAAGGUUAUAACACUCCCGAAGGAGCCACAUCCCCUUAACCUUUUUAUGACAAUCAAAAUUGAUCUAACCAGCA
rnacentral:rRNA from 1 species